rnacentral:rRNA from 1 species
UCAGUACAAAUAAUAUGCUGUUGUCUAUAUGUAGCUAAAGGACAAAAAGACCCUUUGAAGCUUAAUAGAGAUAGUUUUUGGAUAUUAUGUGCACAAAUAUAGCUUAUCUUGUAAUUGCAAGAGUAAAAAGCACAUGGCUUGAUCAAGACUACUGUUUAAUUGGGGCGAUAA